UUCUAACUUGUGAGUCUUUAAAUAUUGUAUUUCUUGUGUUAAUCGAUUGAUUUUAUCAGUAUGAUUUAUUAAGGGCAAAUCGAGCUGGUUCCAAACUAUCUUCGGUACAUCAUUAACCAGUGUUGGGGUGUAUCUAGGUACUUGUACCUAGGUAUGUACCUAGGUAAUUUUUUUCGGUAUCUUUUACCUUACCUAGGUAAAAAAAUAUUUGGCUACCUUUAACCUUACCUAGGUACGAAUUUCGUUUACCUUAAGUUUUAGCUAUGUAAGGUAUUUAGGUACUUCCAUACGUGUAUGUAAAUAUUGUGCAUAUUAGAAAUAGCCCUGCUUCACAGCAAUGCAAUCGAAAACUUAGAAAUAUGAUAGUUCCACCACUUACUCACAGAGGUCUUUAUGGUAAGAAUGCAAAAAUAUUUUCCGUUGGAAUUUGGUAUAAUGCUAAAUUAGCAAUGCCGUUGCUACCUAAACAGUGCACUUUUGUCGAUGACAUUGGUUCCUAGAAAACGUCACAACAAAUCUUAAAAUGAGCAAAGAAGACGCAGAAAAAAGGAGCUACCAUUAAUUUUAAAUGGUACUUUCUUUUUACCGGACGGGAAGUGCAAACUGUGUGUGAACAAAACUAUCAAAUUUGAUGAAAAGUCAACCGGCAACUUGCAUAAACAUCUGAAGAGGGUUCACCCGAACAGUUAUUCUUCGCAUGAAGCUUUGAAAGCGAAAAAUUCAAAAAUAGAAGGGAAAAUUUCCGGUGAUCUCAAAAAAAGAAACCAAUGUGACUUAUGUUUAUAUCUUUGUAUCUCAGAAAAAGAAACUGAUAAUAAAAAUUUCAAAUUUAUAAAA